rnacentral:rRNA from 1 species
GAUGAACGCUGGCGGCGUGCCUAAUACAUGCAAGUCGAGCGAACGGACGAGAAGCUUGCUUCUCUGAUGUUAGCGGCGGACGGGUGAGUAACACGUGGAUAACCUACCUAUAAGACUGGGAUAACUUCGGGAAACCGGAGCUAAUACCGGAUAAUAUUUUGAACCGCAUGGUUCAAAAGUGAAAGACGGUCUUGCUGUCACUUAUAGAUGGAUCCGCGCUGCAUUAGCUAGUUGGUAAGGUAACGGCUUACCAAGGCAACGAUGCAUAGCCGACCUGAGAGGGUGAUCGGCCACACUGGAACUGAGACACGGUCCAGACUCCUACGGGAGGCAGCAGUAGGGAAUCUGCCGCAAUGGGCGAAAGCCUGACGGAGCAACGCCGCGUGAGUGAUGAAGGUCUUCGGAUCGUAAAACUCUGUUAUUAGGGAAGAACAUAUGUGUAAGUAACUGUGCACAGCUUGACGGUACCUAAUCAGAAAGCCACGGCUAACUACGUG